rnacentral:rRNA from 1 species
AUGCAUGUCUAAGUUCACACCCUCGUACGGUGAAACCGCGAAUGGCUCAUUAAAUCAGUCGAGGUUCCUUAGAUGAUCCAAAUUUACUUGGAUAACUGUGGUAAUUCUAGAGCUAAUACAUGCYGAACAGCUCCGACCCUUCGGGGAAAGAGCGCUUUUAUUAGUUCAAAACCAGUCGGGUUCCGCCCGUCCUUUGGUGACUCUGGAUAACUUUGUGCCGAUCGCAUGGCCUCGAGCCGGCGACGCAUCUUUCAAAUGUCUGCCCUAUCAAAUGACGAUGGUACGUGAUCUGCCUACCAUGUUAGCAACGGGUAGCGGGGAAUCAGGGUUCGAUUCCGGAGAGGGAGCAUGAGAAACGGCUACCACA